UCACCUGAAAUGGAUUUAGCAAUGAAAACUAUCAGGGACUUCAUGAUCAAAGAGAAACCAUCCCUCCAAGGAAGGAGUGAUUCUGAAAUACUUGCUGAAGCUGAGAAGUUAGCAGGUGAAUUGCUUAUAUGGGCUGACAGAGCAAAUGAAGUCCAGUCCGCAAUCAAUGACCUCACUUCAAAUCAUCGUCAAAAGUGGCAGCUAUAUAAAGAAGCGCUCUAUUUAUUUGAUGAAGGACUAGUAUACUGGCACCAGGCAAACAGCUUUUGUCAGAGUAAAAAAUCCAAACUGGUUAUUAUUGAAAAUGACAAAGAGGAGGUAAGCUAGCUGAACACUGUAUAUAUAAAUGGCAGGAAUAAUCCUUUGCAAUUUGAUGGU